GCUGGCGGCGUGCCUAACACAUGCAAGUCGAACGAGAACAGUUCCUUCGGGAACCUAGUAAAGUGGCGCACGGGUGAGUAACACGUGGGUAACCUACCCUCGGGUUUGGGACAACACUUCGAAAGAGGUGCUAAUACCAGAUAAGACCACGUCCUCCUUGGAGGAUGCGGUAAAAGGUGGCCUCUCCAUGGAAGCUAUCGCCUAAGGAUGGGCCCGCGCCCCAUCAGCUUGUUGGUAAGGUAACGGCUUACCAAGGCUAAGACGGGUAGCUGGUCUGAGAGGAUGAACAGCCACACUGGAACUGAGACACGGUCCAGACUCCUACGGGAGGCAGCAGUGGGGAAUAUUGCGCAAUGGGCGAAAGCCUGACGCAGCGACGCCGCGUGAGUGAUGAAGGCCC
rnacentral:rRNA from 1 species